UCGGGAUAACAACCUGGAAACAGAUGCUAAUACCGGAUAACAACAGAUGAUGCCUAUCAACUGUUUAAAAGAUGGUUCUGCUAUCACUCUUGGAUGGACCUGCGGUGCAUUAGCUAGUUGGUAGGGUAACGGCCUACCAAGGCGAUGAUGCAUAGCCGAGUUGAGAGACUGAUCGGCCACAUUGGGACUGAGACACGGCCCAAACUCCUACGGGAGGCAGCGGAC
rnacentral:rRNA from 1 species